rnacentral:lncRNA from 10 species
GAUUCUGUAACACUUGUGCCCUUUGACCUCUCAGAGCAGCUGGGGAUCAUGAAGAUUUUCAGAAAAUAUUAAAAAAUAAUGGGAGGAGGAGCCAAGAUGGCCGAAUAGGAACAGCUCGAGUCUACAGCUCCCAGCAUGAAUGAUGCAGAAGACCGGUGAUUUCUGCAUUUCCAUUUGAGGUACUGGGUUCAUCUCACUAGGGAGUGCCAGACAGUGGGCGCAGGACAGUGGGUGAAGUGCACUGCUCACUAGCUGAAGCAGGGCGAGUCAUUGCCUCACUCAGGAAGUGCAAGGGGUCAGGGAGUUAGCUCCCUUUCCUGGUCAAGGAAAGGGGUGACAGACGGCACCUGGAAAAUCGGGUCACUCCCACCCUAACACUGUGCUUUUCUGACGGGCAUAGGAAACGGCACACCAGGAGAUUAUAUCUGGCACCUGGCUCGGAGGGUCCUACGCAUACGGAGUCUCACUGAUUGCUAACACAGCAGUAUGAGAUCAAACUGCAAGGCAGCAGCAAGGCUGGGGAGGGGCACCGGCUAUUGCACAGGCUCUCUUAGGUAAACAAAGCAGCCAGGAAGCUCGAACUGGGUGGAGCCCACCACAGCUCAAGGAGGCCGUCCUGCCUCUGCAGGCUCCACCUCUGGGGGCAGGGCACAGACAAACAAAAAGACAGCAGUAACCUCUGCAGACUUAAAUGUCCCUGUCUGACAGCUUUGAGGAGAGCAGUGGUUCUCCCAGCACGCAGCUGGAGAUCUGAGAAUGGGCAGACUGCCUCCUCAAGUGGGUCCCUGACCCCUGACCCCCAAGCAGCCUAACUGGGAGGCACCCCCCAGUAGGGGCAGACUGACACCUCACACGACCAGGUACUCCUCUGAGACAAAACUUCCAGAGGAACGAUCAGACAGCAGCAUUCGCGGAUCACGAAAAUCCAUGGUUUUGCAGACACCACUGCUGAUAGUCAGGCAAACAGGGUCUGGAAUGGGGCUCUAGCAAACUCCAACAGACCUGAAGCUGAGGGUCAUGUCUGUUAGAAGGAAAACUAACAAACAGAAAGGACAUCCACACCAAAAACCCACCUGUACAUCACCAUCAUCAAAGACCAAAAGUAGAUAAAAC